rnacentral:rRNA from 1 species
AACGAACGCUGGCGGCAGGCCUAACACAUGCAAGUCGAGCGAGCAUUUCGGUGCUAGCGGCGGACGGGUGGGUAACGCGUGGGAACGUGCCCUUUUCUGCGGAAUAGUCCUGGGAAACUGGGGGUAAUACCGCAUACGCCCUUUUGGGGAAAGAUUUAUCGGAGAAGGAUCGGCCCGCGUUGGAUUAGGUAGUUGGUGGGGUAAUGGCCCACCAAGCCGACGAUCCAUAGCUGGUUUGAGAGGAUGAUCAGCCACACUGGGACUGAGACACGGCCCAGACUCCUACGGGAGGCAGCAGUGGGGAAUCUUAGACAAUGGGGGCAACCCUGAUCGAGCCAUGCCGCGUGAGUGAUGAAGGCCUUAGGGUUGUAAAGCUCUUUCAGCUGGGAAGAUAAUGACGGUACCAGCAGAAGAAGCCCCGGCUAACUCCGUG